AGAGUUUGAUCCUGGCUCAGGACGAACGCUGGCGGCGUGCCUAAACCAUGCAAGUCGAACGAGGUACCGGCCUUCGGGCCGGUGUCGAGUGGCGAACGGGUGCGUAACACGUGAGAAACCUGCCCUGGAGACCGGGAUAACCAGAGGAAACCCUGGCUAAUACCGGAUGCCCCCGGAUGGUCGCAUGACCAACCGAGGAAAUGCUCUGGCGCUCCGGGAGGGUCUCGCGGCCUAUCAGCUAGUUGGUGGGGUAACGGCCUACCAAGGCUACGACGGGUAGCUGGUCUGAGAGGACGAUCAGCCACACUGGGACUGAGACACGGCCCAGACUCCUACGGGAGGCAGCAGGUGGGAAUAUUGCGCAAUGGGCGAAAGCCUGACGCAGCAACGCCGCGUGGGGGAUGAAGGCUUUCGGGUUGUAAACCCCUUUCAGCAGGGACGAAAAUGACGGUACCUGCAGAAGAAGCCCCGGCCAACUACGUGCCAGCAGCCGCGGUAACACGUAGGGGGCAAGCGUUGUCCGGAUUUAUUGGGCGUAAAGAGCUCGUAGGCGGUUGCGUAAGUCGGAUGUGAAAACUCAGGGCUCAACCCGGAGACGCCAUCCGAUACUGCGGUGACUAGAGUCCGGUAGAGGAGCAUGGAAUUCCUGGUGUAGCGGUGAAAUGCGCAGAUAUCAGGAGGAACACCAGCAGCGAAGGCGGUGCUCUGGGCCGGAACUGACGCUGAGGAGCGAAAGCGUGGGUAGCGAACAGGAUUAGAUACCCUGGUAGUCCACGCCGUAAACGUUGGGCACUAGGUGUGGGACCUACUUAACGGGUUCCGUGCCGUAGCUAAYGCAUUAAGUGCCCGCCUGGGGAGUACGGCCGCAGGCUAAACUCAAAGGAAUUGACGGGGGCCCGCACAAGCGGCGGAGCAUGUUGCUUAAUUCGAGGCAACGCGAGGAAUCUUACUGGAUUGACAUGCACGAAAAGCCAUAAAGAUAUGGUGUCGUCGGGCGUGCACAGGUGGUGCAUGCUGUCGUCAGCUCGUGUCGUGAGAUGUGGGUUAAGUUCCGCAACGAG
rnacentral:rRNA from 1 species